rnacentral:rRNA from 1 species
CAGUCGCCGCGGGAACACAGAGGGUGCGAGCGUUAAUCGGAUUUACUGGGCGUAAAGCGUGCGUAGGCGGCUUCUUAAGUCGGAUGUGAAAUCCCUGAGCUUAACUUAGGAAUUGCAUUCGAUACUGGGAAGCUAGAGUAUGGGAGAGGAUGGUAGAAUUCCAGGUGUAGCGGUGAAAUGCGUAGAGAUCUGGAGGAAUACCGAUGGCGAAGGCAGCCAUCUGGCCUAAUACUGACGCUGAGGUACGAAAGCAUGGGGAGCAAACAGGAUUAGAUACCCCGGUAGUCCCUGUCUCUUAUAA